GACGAACGCUGGCGGCGUGCUUAACACAUGCAAGUCGAGCGAGAAAGCACCUUCGGGUGUGAGUACAGCGGCGAACGGGUGAGUAACACGUGGGCAACCUGCCCCAGAGACUGGGAUAACGUCCCGAAAGGGACGCUAAUACCGGAUGAUGCGCGACCUGCCAAGUGGGUCGCGCCAAAUGGUAGCGUAAGCUUCUACUCUGGGAUGGGCCCGCGCCGGAUUAGCUUGUUGGUGAGGUAACGGCUCACCAAGGCGACGAUCCGUAGCUGGUCUGAGAGGACGAUCAGCCACACUGGGACUGAGACACGGCCCAGACUCCUACGGGUGGCAG
rnacentral:rRNA from 1 species